GACGAACGCUGGCGGCGUGCCUAAUACAUGCAAGUCGAGCGAGUCUGCCUUGAAGAUCGGAGUGCUUGCACUCUGUGAAACAAGAUACAGGCUAGCGGCGGACGGGUGAGUAACACGUGGGUAACCUGCCCAAGAGAUCGGGAUAACACCUGGAAACAGAUGCUAAUACCGGAUAACAACAGAUGAUGCCUAUCAACUGUUUAAAAGAUGGUUCUGCUAUCACUCUUGGAUGGACCUGCGGUGCAUUAGCUAGUUGGUAGGGUAACGGCCUACCAAGGCGAUGAUGCAUAGCCGAGUUGAGAGACUGAUCGGCCACAUUGGGACUGAGACACGGCCCAAACUCCUACGGGAGGCAGCAGUAGGGACUCUUCCACAAUGGACGCAAGUCUGAUGGAGCAACGCCGCGUGAGUGAAGAAGGGUUUCGGCUCGUAAAGCUCUGUUGUUGGUGAAGAAGGACAGGGGUAGUAACUGACCUUUGUUUGACGGUAAUCAAUUAGAAAGUCACGGCUAACUAAGUG
rnacentral:rRNA from 1 species